rnacentral:RNase_P_RNA from 1 species
AGUCGGUUAUACGGUCGCGGGGACGGAGAGAAACCGUCAAUGAGGAAAGUCCGAGCGUUUUAGAAACAGGGUGCCGGAGAAAUCCCGGUGAAGGCGACUUUAAGGAAAGUGCAACAGAAAAUUACCGCCGCCGUUUUUCGGCGGUAAGGUUGAAAAGGCGGGGUAAGAGCCCACCGCCCCUACGGUAACGCAGGGGGCAAUGUAAACCCCACCCGACGCAAGAUUGACAAACCGUUUCACACGGGAGUUUCACCGAAACGGUUUAUUAAAACAUCGCUGGGGGAUAACGGUAACGUUAUUCGUAGAUAAAUGACCGUACACGACAGAACUCGGCUUACAGACCGACUUA